CACGUAGGGCGCGAGCGUUGUCCGGAAUUAUUGGGCGUAAAGAGCUCGUAGGUGGUUUGCUGCGUCCGCUGUGAAAACCCAAGGCUUAACCUUGGGCUUGCAGUGGAUACGGGCAGACUAGAGGUAGGUAGGGGAGAAUGGAAUUCCCGGUGUAGCGAUGAAAUGCGCAGAUAUCGGGAGGAACACCGGUGGCGAAGGCGGUUCUCUGGGCCUUACCUGACACUGAGGAGCGAAAGCGUGGGGAGCGAACAGG
rnacentral:rRNA from 1 species